rnacentral:lncRNA from 1 species
AAGGCUUUCGGAAAGCUGCGUUUUGGGGUGGGUUUGAAAACUCUCCUCUCUUGCUCUGUUUUUCUUUUUAGACAACUUUGCACAAGAGGCAAGGCUCCUGCCAAAAGCCCUCGUAAUGCCCCUCUUUGGGGACUGAAUUUAUCCGCUCAGCUGUCCCUCGUAAAUUUAUUCCUGCGUGAGAUUUUUCCCAAACCAUUCAUUCCUCCGCUUAGCUCAGGCAGCUGGAAUGCAGAAAAAAAUACAUUUUUUUCCUUUCUUUCUUUUUUUUUUUUUUUUUCCAAGAAUGUGCCUUUUGUAUGCUGGGAGGGGCCGGGCUACAGAGCAAAAACAAAAGCGAGCUACAACACAGACGGACACCAGGCUGUGCACAGCCCCAUGAGGCACGCGUGCUGCCUGGGGCUACUGAUGGGUGGCAGGGGGCGCCUGGCACCCCACCCGGUGUGUGCUGAGUGGGCCAUGGGUCCUCAGCCUGGGACACAGCCAGAGAAACACCUCACUGGCUGUUUCCAUGGCAACAUCACAGUUGCACUGGAAUGGAAAGCCUCGGUGGGUCAGAGCCAGGAGGGCUUUCCAGCUUCUCGUGGUGUGCACAACGUUGGGCUGUGGAGCUUUGACUUGAUUUUUCCUCGAGUGAUUAUGGUUCCCGAGGCAGCUGCCUGGCAUGGUGCAGACAGGCCCUUCAGAUGAUGGACAGGACAUUGAACUUGGAGGCUGACACAGGAGGAGCCUGCUCCUGUAUCUCGCAGCCUCAAGAAGGGAGAGAGCCUGUGUGAACGCAUAUUCCUUCACUGCAAGUACAGGUAGUUUCCACCGCAGGGUGCACCAGCAUCCUCUGCAAACUUUGAGAACACAGAUGCUCAGCGGCCACCAAGCCCAAGGAGGCAGAGCUCUGGACUGUGCCCAAAGGCUGCCGCUAACAAGCACUGUGGUGACUCCGGCCUCCACAGCCAGCCAGCCCACACCACAUGGCCUUUGUAACUCACCCAGCGAAUGAUGCUCUAGCAGCUCAAUGUAAAGCUGCCUCGAGUGAGAUCUCUCUGGAGGGAGGAGCCGUUUCAGCAAGAGAAAAUGCAGCACCAGGAGCCUGCAGGCCCCACCCUGAGGGGAC